UGUUAAAAUUUUUAUCUAUUUGUAUUGUUAAAAAUUGAUGUGGCUGAUGAAAUAACCUUACAAUGACACGUGAUCUAUCAUGUGUGAUCUAUCAUGUGUGCCUUAUGCUACAAAGGUCAAUUUUUAACCGUGGAAUUGGAUGGAAAUUUUAAUA
rnacentral:pre_miRNA from 1 species